ACGCAUUGACGCCGCGUGAAGGAUGAAGGCCUACGGGUUGUAAACUUCUGUUAAGCGGGAAGAAAACUCUAUUUCUAAUACAAAUAGAUAUGACGGUACCGCUAGAGAAAGCACUGGCUAAACUCGUGCCAGCAGCCGCGGUAAUACGAGUGGUGCAAGCAUUAUUCGGAAUCAUUGGGCGCAAAGGGUGCGUAGGUGGCUUAUUAAGUUUACUGUUAAAUGUCUCGGCCCAACCGAGAACCUGCGGUGAAUACUGGUAAGCUAGAGGAUGAUAGAGAGAAGUGGAAUUCUCGGAGUAGCGGUAAAAUGCGUAGAUCUCGAGAGGAACAUCGAUGGCGAAAGCAGCUUCUUGGAUCAAUCCUGACACUGAUGCACGAAAGCGUGGGGAGCAAACAGGAUUAGAUACCCUGGUAGUCCACGCCGUAAACAAUGAUCACUUGAUGUAGGUUCUGCUUUUUGCGGAGUCAGUAUCGUAGCUAACGCGUUAAGUGAUCCGNCUGGGAACUACGAUCGCAAGAUUAAAACUCAAAGGGAUUGACGGGGGCCCGCACAACGGUGGAACUGUGGUUAAUUCGAAACUAC
rnacentral:rRNA from 1 species